rnacentral:rRNA from 1 species
CGUCUCGCGACCCCAGGCCAGCGGGAUGACCCGCUGAGUUUAAGCAUAUCAAUAAGCGGAGGAAAA